AUUGAACGCUGGCGGCAGGCCUAACACAUGCAAGUCGAGCGGAUGAAGGGAGCUUGCUCCUGGAUUCAGCGGCGGACGGGUGAGUAAUGCCUAGGAAUCUGCCUGGUAGUGGGGGAUAACGUCCGGAAACGGGCGCUAAUACCGCAUACGUCCUGAGGGAGAAAGUGGGGGAUCUUCGGACCUCACGCUAUCAGAUGAGCCUAGGUCGGAUUAGCUAGUUGGUGGGGUAAAGGCCUACCAAGGCGACGAUCCGUAACUGGUCUGAGAGGAUGAUCAGUCACACUGGAACUGAGAAACGGCCCAGACUCCUACGGGAGGCAGCAGUGGGGAAUAUUGGACAAUGGGCGAAAGCCUGAUCCAGCCAUGCCGCGUGUGUGAAGAAGGUCUUCGGAUUGUAAAGCACUUUAAGUUGGGAGGAAGGGCAGUAAGUUAAUACCUUGCUGUUUUGACGUUACCAACAGAAUAAGCACCGGCUAACUUCGUG
rnacentral:rRNA from 1 species